UUAUGGCCAUAUAGCGUUGAAACACAGGUUCUCGUACGAUCAGUGAAGUUAAACAACGUUGAGCCUGGACAGUACCAAGAUUGGUGACCGCUAGGAAUUAGCAAGUA